UUUGCGAACAUUUGAUACUAUCAUUUUAUAGCGACAAUUAGAGUGAUGUUCGAGCUAUAGUUUGUUAUAUAACAAGACGUAGGUGGCAGGUCUUUAUCAUGUAACAUCCUCACGCAGACAGAAGUAAUGUGUAAUGACGGUGUCACUUGCGACUGUUCGCGCUAAAAAUAAUCUCGUAUCUCGAGAGUCAGUUCUUCGAGUUAUUAUUUUUCUUUCCCGUAUCGAUCAUUGAUACGCCAUGAUUCAUCGUCGAAUUAUUCGGACUUCUUUCAUGGAACUUGAUAUGCACUCAUUCUCUUCAAUGUUGCUUUGUGUUUCAACACGGAUUUUAGAAACCACGGAACUGCGAACAUAUUCUCCUUAGCUUAAUUGUUUGGCUUAAUACUUUACAGUAUCCAAGAAAAACGAUGAAAUCAUGUGAAUUGUACUUGAGACAGAUAAAUUAACUCGUUUGCAGAUCUCUACGAAGCAGGACGUAUAUUACGUUUAUUUCGUUUUACCGCCUUUUUCUAACGUUCGUGUAUUGCGCAGGAUGUGUGCGCAGGAAUAUUGAUUAUCGACCCACGUGAUCGAUGGAACAUAACCUCGAAAAUAGGAUCGCCAUGCGGUCGAAGCAUAAACACUUGAUCUGCAAUUGCAGCAUUUCAUUUGUGUUUCCCGAUUGUUAAACGUAUGCAUUCGAUUUGUAUUCAUCGAACGGUGCUGUCAAUAUUAUGCAUGGACAAUUUAAAUUGUAAUUUGUGUCCUAAGUGAUUGUAAAACUAGAACACUGUAUAAAGAGGCUUACCCUUUAAAGAAAUAAAUGAAGUUGCCAAAAAAUAUAAGUUGUCAAUAGUUAUUAUUUAUUACGCGAAGAACAUUACAUGUAAAAACCGCAUAAAAUUCAGUGCGUGAAGCUUAAUGGAUUAACUUCCCGAUUAUCGCAUCGCAUUUAUUAAAAACAGUUGGUAACAGCGAAAGGGUUAACCGUGCUGCAUUAUUAGACAAAACGCUGAUGCGUGCAACGAGCAAUUAACCCAUCGCGUUCUGGGCCAACAAAAGGUCAACGUAGCGAAUCCGCCAAGGUUCGAACGGCUUCGACAUCACAGAAACAUCGCGAAAGGCAAAAUAAUAAUGGGAGCAGCUUGUCGAAAGGCGCAUGCAUAAUUAAGGAAUCGCGCGAUCGCCAUUGUUGCUGCUUAGAGUUGCCACUUUCACUCCGGGAUUUCUCUGCCAUUCGAGAAGUUCAAGAAUAAUGAAUUCACUCGUAAUACGGAAAACAUCACAAAAAUUAACAGUAUAAAAUUUUCUAAAUAUAAUCUGUUUUUUGAGAGCUGAAACGGGGUCGUCUCUGGGGAGGUCUUAGGUCACUAAGUUGCUAGGGGCUAUCUUUUACAAAAUGGAGGUAUCUUAAGGUGUAGAAGUGGCUUUUGAAUUUAGAAGUAUUUGCAUUUAAAUACUUAAACGUAUAUAUAAUAUAUACAUUUAA